UUUGUCCGGGCGGGUUGUUGUCGUCGGGUUUUUCGCGCUGGCUCAGCAGAGUCUGCGAGCGCCGCCGCGGCGUUGAUCCCCACAUUUAGGCGGGUACAAAGGCCGCGUCGCGACGCGGCGGCGGCGGGGGCCUAUAUGUACAGGCGGCGCGCCGCGAGCCUCGCAUCGGAAGCGGGCCGACGGUCAGAAUGCGGCGCGGCCGGGGGCUGCCGCCGCUCUUCGCCUGCGUCUGCGUCGCGCUCGCCCUGCUGCUCGCCCAUGCCGAGGACCGGGACGGCAUCUUCAGGAGGCCCCAGUGCAGCGGCACCGCGCUGACCCGAGCGUGUCCGCUCGACUACUCGCCCGUGUGCGGCAGCGACGGGAUCACCUAC